AAUUCCCCUUGGGUUGUAACCUCUUUUCGAGGAAAAAUAUGACGGUACUCGUAGAAUAAUCUUGGCGUAACUACGUGCCACAGCCGCGGUAAUACAUACACGCGAACGUUUCCGGAUUUACUGGGCUAAGCGGGUGUAACGGUUUUUAGUCUUGUGAAAUCUCCCGACUCAUUGGGAGUCUGCAAUUGAUACUGGAGAGCUUGAGGGCAUCGAAGAAAGCAGAAUUCCGGUGUAGCGUGAAAUGCGCAGAUAUCGUGAGGAAUACCAGUGGCGAAGGCGGCUUUCUAGGAUGCUCCUGACGUUGAGGCCCGAAGCUGCGGAGCGAACAGAAUUAUACUCUGGUAGUCCACGCCUUAACUAUGGACACUAGGUAUAGGGAGUAUCGACCCUCUCUGUGCCGAAGCUAAC
rnacentral:rRNA from 1 species